CCCACCCUGAUCAGCUGCUGAGCCUCAGCUCCACAUUCCAGAGCAGAUCCAGCCCCUGCCAGCCUGGCCAAGGAGCUGCUCCUGCUGAACCUGCAGCGCUCUGGCAGCUCUGGGCAGCUCUGGGGCACUCCCAGCCCGUUCCCCAGUGUGUGCUGCUCACACUCUGCAGCCCUGACUCUCUGGGAGCUGUUCCUUGGCUCAGCUGUGCUGGGAAGCCUGUCCGGUAGGCAGACAAAAGCUGGAAUUGUUAUUCUUCAUGGGAACUUCAAAGGCAGACACAGCUGACCUGGCACCCAGAAUGGCCAUUUGAAUUCAGUCUCAUGGACAGCGUGCAUGGAGGCAUUUGAAUGGGAAAAAGGACCAUAACUCCCUUAAAGCACAAAAGGAACCCGAAAGGCUUUAAGCAGAUUCUGGGUUGGAGAGGACACAAUUUGCAGUUGUCUGCAAAGGCAUUGCAGAAGUGCUUCUUCCAGCAUAAUUUGGAAGGAAAGUGGAAAGCAGGGGUCUGUGACAGCUUUCAGUGCUGCCAGAGCCAGAGCUUGUCCUGUCAGCUCCUGGAGGAGCAGAGUUGUCUUCAUCUGCUGCCAUCGGAGACCAAGAACUAAAGAGGAAAUCUCGGUUUUAAUUCGCGCUCCGUGAAAAAUCGGUGACCACACAACACCCAGUGAAGCUGUGGGGGCCGACCAGUUUGGCUCACUGGCAUUUCCCAUGGAGGAGCCCUGGAGAAUUUAUCCAAAGAUCAAAGUAACAUUUCUGUUGUGUUUCGUGUGUAAUUCAAAGGAACAAUGAAACGGAGGAAAAUAUUUUCUUCAGAUUGUUUCUCUCUUCACCCAUUUGUGAGAGGGAUUUUUGUUUUCAGCAUGGAACGCACACAGAAUCUUGAGUUUUCAUGGAAACAGAAUUGUCUCAACGUUUGCAUUGGCAUUUCUGGAGUCACUGAACCACAAAUUCUUGAAAUUUUUGCCCAAACCAACCUGAUUCCACUGAAAUUAUAGGAUUGCUGGGCAAUAUUUGAGGUCAGCCUGGGUCAGUCUGUCCCAGGAGAGGCACGAGGAGAGGACAUGGGAUCAGCAGAGCAGCUGUAAGUUCAUCUCCUGGCCACAGACAGCACCAAGGGCAGAGAAAAGCAGAAGUGAUCACUUGAAAUGAACAAUUCCACAGCAAUAGCAAUAAUAAUAAUGAUACUGAAAUACCACUGAAUGUGGGUACCCAGUUUUAGACUCCUUUAGAAGAUCUGCAUUUCAGUAGGAAGAACAAUUCCUUCAAAAUUCAAACCUUCUGGGGAGAUUUUGAGUUGCCCACAUUAAUCCAAAGCUUGUUUUUAUGGUUUAGAGCCCCUUAAAUGGAAAACUCACCUAAUGGACUUCAAAAUUACUCUUUUUUUUUUCUCCUUGCUGACCUUGUGUUUAAGUCAGAAGAGUUGAAUGAAAUUUAUUGGCAGCUUUUAUAAUUGUUUUGAAACCACUCUGCCUCCUCACUUUGUAAGUGAAUGAGUUGGCAGAGCUUUCCAGUAGAGCCAAGAAGGUCACUGGAAAAUCGCUGGCCUCAGCCUUACUUAAAACAGCAUUUGGUAACUUAGGUUACAUUGACUCUUAACAACAAAUUCACAGUUGAAAACACUGGUAGAACAUGGAUUGGCCAAUUACAGUGGAAUUUCUGUGAAGUGUUUAGAGCAUUGCCUCCUCAUUAAUAACACAUUAGUUCUUCAUUAUUGCAUCAUUACAAUGAACAGCAGAAGGAUUAAUAAUCGCUGGUCACAGUCACCAAAAAUCAUUCCCAGUUUGGGAAAUUCUUUGGCCCGCGGUCAUCCCAUGGACACAUUUUGUUUCAAUGAUCCAGUGUGCUCUUAAAAAGGGCAAUAAAAAUAUAAAAAUAGAAAGAAAGAGAAAGAAAAAUAUAAAAUGCUGCGGUCACACCUUUUGGGGCAUCAGCUGCAUUGUACACAAGGAAAACAAAGAUGAAUACAUGAAAUGUGAAAUCUCAGCCUCUUUCCUUUGCUUUAACUGAGGUCUGUGA